rnacentral:rRNA from 1 species
UCCUACGGGAGGCAGCAGUGGGGAAUAUUGCGCAAUGGGCGAAAGCCUGACGCAGCGCGCCGCGUGGGGGAUGACGGCCUUCGGGUUGUAAACCUCUUUUACCACUAACGCAGGCUCGGAGUGUUCUUCGGGUUGACGGUAGGUGGGGAAUAAGGACCGGCUAACUACGUGCCAGCAGCCGCGGUAAUACGUAGGGUCCGAGCGUUGUCCGGAAUUAUUGGGCGUAAAGAGCUCGUAGGCGGCAUGUCGCGUCUGCUGUGAAAGACCGGGGCUUAACUUCGGUUUUGCAGUGGAUACGGGCAUGCUAGAGGUAGGUAGGGGAGACUGGAAUUCCUGGUGUAGCGGUGAAAUGCGCAGAUAUCAGGAGGAACACCGGUGGCGAAGGCGGGUCUUUGGGCCUUACCUGACGCUGAGGAGCGAAAGCAUGGGUAGCCAACAGGAUUAGAUACCCUGGUAGUCCAUGCCGUAAACGUUGGGCGCUAGGUGUGGGGACUUUCCACGGUUUCCGCGCCGUAGCUAACGCAUAAGCG